ensembl:lncRNA
AGAAUUCUACCUUUUUUUUUUUUUUUACAGUACAUAAUAUGCAGUAAACUAGUUUCUAUUUUAAACACUUUUUUGUAAAAUAAAUAAAUGUAUAUAUAUAUAUAUAUAUAUAUAUAUAUAUAUAUAUAUAUAUAUAUAUAUAUAUAUAUAUAUAUAUAUAUAUAUAUAUAUAUAUAUUGCUGUGAUUAGUUAUCACUUAAAAUGUAACAUUAAAAUAAGUAAGGUGUUGUUUCAACUUAAGAAAAGCACGUUUUUUACUUAAACUAAGGUUAACUUUAGUUAUCUUGAUUAUUCAAGUUAUCUCCACAAAUUUUCAGGUUGUUAUAACUAAUUGCAGCAACAUUUAUGUAGUUAUUUUUUUCUUGAAAUCUUGCUCUGUGCACAGUUGCAUGAUCUUCUGGAUCUCAGGAGCCUGAUGUUGUUGUGUCGCCCCCUACAGGACUGCAGCAUCUCUACAUGUGGACUGAAGCCACCUGCACCACCUGAAGCACAGCAAAAUGUUGCAGAAAUCACAACGGGAGACGUUAUGUUUCGAUCCUGGACGAUCCCACCCGGUCCGUGUUUCUGGAAAUUAAUCCACACUGCAUCUUCAGAUGUUAUCUGGCUGUAAUGCUUCCACACUAAUGAAGUGCUUUUGCACGGAUUAAAGCUGCGAUCUGCACAUCCAUCCUGACGUGUUUCCACCUUCAUCUCAUGCCUGCGCUGUGAGGUCACGGCGAACCCCACCCCGGAGCGUCUGAACCGACACGUCAUCCAUUAGAGCUCAAUCACGACGGCCGGAUCUAAAUCAAUUAGAUAUGAAGCCCAGAGGUCACGGGGGUCAGCGCUGGGACGAGGCGUUCAUUAUGAGCGCAGCAUAUCUGAUUUAAUACACCGCUGGAACGGGAAGCCGCUCGGGAGAACUGCGGAUAUUAAAGGUCAAAUGUCAUCCAGCAUGUGGGCCUAAGAUAAAGUUACUGUGAAAUACUCCGGGAAAGAUGGAAAAUGUUCCCUUUAUAUACAGAGAAAGACAUCAGGCAUGUUCAGAAUCCAGUGCUGCCCGUGAUAUCCCACAAUCCUAUGCGUGCCAUUUUUAGAUAAGUAUUUGUGUCAAAAGUUUGGAAUACUUACGAUUUUUGGCUGCAUUUAUUUGAUAACAGUAAUAUUGCCAAAUACUAUUACAAUUUAAAAUAACUGUUUUCUAUGUGAAUCUCUGUUAAAGUGUAAUGUAUUUCUGUGAUGCAAAGCUGUAUUGUCAGCAUCAUUACUCCAGUCUUCAGUUUCACAUGAUCUUCAGAAAUCAUUCUAAUAUGAUGAUUUUUUGUAGUAAUAUUUUCAUUAAAUAUUUUUUGUUGUAUUUUUAGCAAAUUAUUGCAGCUUUGAAGAGCUUAAAAGACUUAAAAUGCUAUAGAAAUAUCGUUCUUACAGUAGUUUGUUAACAGGGUUAUUAUAAAUUACAGCUAAACUAAAACUAAAUCUAUUAAAAAUCUUAUUUUAAUGUUGAAAUAAAGCUGAAUAUGUGUGUGUGUGUGUGUGUGUGUGUGUGUGUGUGUGUGUGUGUGUGUGUGUGUGUGUGUGUGUGUGUGUACACACAAAAAUAAAAUAAAAAUACUAGAUGAAAAAAAAUUCAUUACAAAUGUUGCCUUGGCAAAUUACUGAAAUAAAUUUAAGCUGAAGCAAUUAAACAACUAACUGAAAAAAAAAACAAAUCUAGUAGUUAUUUAUUUAUUUAUUUAUUUAUUUGUAUGAAAAUAAAUUAAACCUAAGUAGUAAUAUCUAAAAAGUCGUAAAACUACUAAAGGUUAAACUAAAAUUUAAAGAACUGAAAAUAUAAAAAUAAAAGUUAAUUGAAAAUAUUAAUAACAACAAUAUUAGUAGGCCAUAAAUAAUGCUAAAAUAAAGCAUGAAUGCCCCUUUUUCGAUGAAAAUAAAUACAUUUCUAACAAAAAAAAAAAAAAAAAAGCUCUGUUUUUAUUUAUUAAUCAUGCAUGCAUUUCUCUCUAAAGCUCACUGUAAUUUCCUCCAGAUGUGACGUCAUGCUGCCUGUGAAGCCGGUCUGAAAGCAGUUUCCUGUCAUGCAAAGGUUUUGGAUGAGUAUGUCUGUUCAAUGUGAUGCAUUUAUU